rnacentral:rRNA from 1 species
AUGAGGAUCACCAAACAAUGCAACCUGCCACUUUCUUUGGGUAAGCAUUAUCGCUCAAAUGUGUUGUGUGAUGUGGUUGACAUGGAUGCCAGCCAUGUUCUUCUUGGGAGGCCUUGGCAAUUUGAUGUGGAUACUACACACAAGGGCAAGGAAAAUUCUUACUCUUUCAUUUGGAACAAGAGAAGGAUCAUUAUCUUACCAAACAAAACCAAAGGUAAUACCUCUAAGGAGGAGGGGAAAACUAUGUUAACUAUCUCCCAUACCUCUCAUGAGUUUAUGGAAGACUUGAAGGAGGCAGAUUUGUGUGCUGCACUUGUUGUAAAGGGAGAAGAGCACCUGACUGUUGAAAUUCCAGCAAAGGUACAUGGUUUAUUGGCAGAAUUUCAGAACAUACUUGGGGAGCCACAUGGCUUGCCACCGAUGAGAGGAAUUCAACAUAGAAUUGACUUAAUUCCGGGAGCAAGUCUUCCUAAUCUUCCACACUCUCGAAUGAGCCCAAAGGAGCAUGAUAUAUUGAAGGAGAAAGUGGAGGAAUUGUUGCAAAAGGGGCACAUUUGA